AGACUUUCGGCGCUUGCAAAAAGGCUCACCUCUCUUAAUACUGAAGGAAAAUUGGAGUUUAAAAAACCAUACGAUUACACUAAUUUUGAUUAGGAAUUUAAAGAUUAUGAGCCCCGUCCGUUUGACUCGCAGUUUGGUACCAUAGGUUGGUACGAUCUUCGUUCAAGAAGGAAGAGGGAUGUUCCAGACACAGAAAAUCGUCAAACCAUUUACUACAAAGUCUGUUUCUGCUUAGUAUUAAUUAAUGCAGUUAACAUUUUCAGAUCGACAUGAUUGCAGAAUGGAGUCAAUAAAACAAAUUCCAUCUGAUAUUCAACAUAAAUUUUAAGUUUGGAAUAACAAGCUCACAAGAAAGAUGACCUGGUUUUAGAUAUCACUUGGGACCACAGACUAACAGACAAAGGAACAAAGCAAAACGACUCUGCGAUUUGAUGUAGAAACUCCUGACUCCGAAGCCUGCAGCCGCCCUCCAAUUCUCAAGUCAGAAGUGUGUCAAUGAUGGUGCAGAUCCAACAACACUGGAAACGAUCUUGAGUCUAGACCAAAGCAGCCCCUUGAUUGGCACCGUAUCCAUUCUCUCCACAACUAACUCCAAGACACAAUAAUGUGUCCAUAUACAAGAUGCACUGCCACAUUUUUUUCCAACUAUUCUUACACCCGCCUUUCCAGACUUAGAAAACUCAUCUUCAAUGUCAAGGACAUCAGACAUGGUUGCACUAAUCCCAGUAAAAAUCACCUCCAAGCUACUCUCAAACUGAUUUGGAAAUGAAUGAUUGUUCCUGAGUCAAUAUUAGUAAUCUCUUUUGGAACAGCAUUGUGGGCCUGUCUACAGCAACAUGAAGCUGUUCAAGAAGUCAAUUUGUGCUGGACAAUCAGCAACAGCUAUGUCUCAUUAAAGAAUAAAUAAAUCGGAAAGAAAUCCAUCUGAGAGUCACAAGCAAA